AGGCUCUAAUCAAGCUUGCUCAUGGGAUGACUCUGGUAAUCUACUUCUAAUUCAUUAUGCAAUUACUAAUUAUGUAUGUUCUGGUUCACAACUCUUUUGAGUAUUCUAAUCUAUAGGACGCUAUAGGUGAGAGUUGUAGUAUAGGUGUAAGCGAGGUGCUUAGAUCUAGAUUACUUGUGGAUAUCCCCUGUCUAGCUGGAUCGUGUGGUAUGCCGCAUAGGUGACAGUUACGUUGGUCCUCUGUAGUCCACCUCUCGUUAGCAGGACGGGUAGGGUUUAUCGGCCUAAGGAUAAGCAUCCUUUGUGGUGUACUCUUAUCACGUGGUUCGUCCCCGACAUAGACAUACCCCUUUGAAGUAGAGAAACCAUAGUUAUCCUCUCUAUUCUGCUACCAUCGCCCAUAUACUAGAAUUGCUCGAUUCUCUAUUCCCAUAUUAUCACCCACUGUUAUCUUACCUUUAAUAUUGUUCUUAUUCAAUUCUACCAUCUUUCCUAUUCAUACUUAUCUAUCUAUCUUGGUUAAGUUAGAGCAUAGUUGGUUCUCCCGUUUCCUGUG
rnacentral:lncRNA from 1 species